AGUCGCCGAGCCGGUCAGCAGCGUGCACGGAGAUCUUCACUCUGCGCCCAGCCCCGGGACACAGGUGCAGAUCUCCAGCGGAGCACUGCGGAGUGCGCGCCGUCGAGCACUAGGGAAUCCUAGACGGAGGACUUGGUCCAUUCCACGCAGUCCCAGGCAGGUCCGCAGCGGAGGGACGCAGCGGUCUCCAACUCCUGGUCACGACUUCGGCGACCCUCCACCCCCUGAGAGACCUGGUCCCACGGAGCUGUCCCCCCAGGAGCCGCAGCGGGAAUAGCAAAGCAAAGGGGACCACUCAGCCCCCAGGAGGAGCCCUGAAGCAAAAAGGUUGCUGCGGGGAGCCACGUUCCCUCUGGUUCACCUCGAAGCCCAGGAGCUCCGGUCCCUGGACCAAGGAGUGAACAGACCUGAGGAAGAGGUGCAAGCUUAAAGUGUUGCUGCCAGACCUUUCUUCUCUUCUAAUGUAUUGACUGCUGCCUCAUGAAGGCUGGUCCUGUCUCUAUAGUGAAUAUUGUGCACCUCAGGGUAGAAUGGAGAGCAGAAGACUUCAAAUCAGGCAGUCUGGGUUCAGACCCCAAUUCUAGUGCUAAAUAGCUACGUGACUUUAGGCCGAUUGUGUGUGACUUCCCUGAGCCCCAGUCUCUUUGCCUGCAAAAUGAGAAAAAUUAUAACAAUGUCAUCGGUUGUUCUGAGGAUUCUGAGAGGAAUUAGUAGGAGAGAGAACUAAGAAGCUGCGGGCCUCUACAGAGCCAUUCAACUGGCAUUUCGGAAGAUGUUGCCCAUCAGAGUCAGACCUUCUUAGCAUCUUCCGGCUGGGCCCAAACUUCCCAAGACCAUUUGGACAAGGUCAUCUCUAUCCCACCAUGGCCUCCUCCCAGAGGAGGAGAAGAAUCAUGCUGUUACAGCAGAACCGAAGAUUUGGGCAAGGGAGCUAAUGAUUAUGUUCUGCGUCAGGUCAGAGAUGGGCUGGGAAAGCCACUCCAAAGCCAAGACAAGCAGUUUCCUGGAAAAAGAAGGCUGCGCGGAGCCCAGAGUGGCCUGGAUCCUGCCUCAUUUCCUGGACCAGCUCCUUAGGUGGUUACUGGAUUGCCAAUAAAGCAGAGCUUAUUAAAGUCAACGAGCUCAGGCUUCAUCGCCGCCAUGGUAUCCAAGCACCAGUCUGUCUGGGAUUUCAUUUGCCAGAUGGACAAAGGAGAGGUUGUUCCAAUACAUAUCCUGAGUGGUGGGGGUGGGGAGAGAAGGGGAAGAAUGCUCUCUAGAGAAUUCUCUUUGUCCUCUGAAGUAAAUAGAGAUCAUGUCUUCCCCAGCCACACUCAGUGAUCUGAAUCUCUUGGACUGUGGAUUUUUCCUUUACCUGCUGUGAAGCCUUGAAAAGUAUGAAUUAGCUUGAUAAUGAUCCUCUAAAGAUGUUCAAGAGUUAAAGACGUGUUUAAGUUCUUCAGGCAAUCCAAUAUGACUACGGGUUUCCAAAAAUUUGAAGGAAACUGAAAAUCAUAGUUCCCAAACCAGAUAUUUUCCGGUGUCCAGAUGUUCACUGGCAUGCAAACCAAAUGUCUGGAUUAUGAGCUCCUUUUUUCAUUUCUUUUUAUCAGCUUACAUCCAGAUGUUGGAUCCAACUGGUCAGAGGCCUGGGGCAGAGACAGAAAUCAAAUCUAGGGUGUUCAUCUAGAGUCUCCUGCUCCUCCAUUCCUGCUUCCUCCUCACGCUGCCCCCACAUCCUCCCCAACUCACCUUCAUGCUACAUCUCGGCAAAUACAGCUCAUAUCCAGGCACGGUGCAGCCCUUGACAGCUGGGUCCGCAAAGGCAGAUCGGGUAUAUCUUUAAAGAAAAGUUAUCUUAACCAUUGAGAAGCCUUCCUUCCUCAGAGGAGAGCACCUCCCCAGCAGACCUCCGAGGAGACCAAGGGCAGGACAGGAAGGGUGAAAGGAAGUUUCAGGACUGCAGGAAAUAAGAGCUUGGAGGUCAAGGGAGAGAUCAGAUAAAACAUGAAUCUGAUCAGCAUCCUAGUGGUCUAGAGUGGAGACAAUCUGCGGAGUCAACCUCAGUAAGGACACACAUAGAGAAGAACCAAAGCCUCUAAAGACGAAGCUGAGAAGUGUACGGUCGUAGAAGACUCGUGUCUGUUAUUCUUAAAAGCUCAAGGAGAUGUUCUGCCAAUUGAAUGGAAACUGUCCAUAGUGGGGAGCAGAGAGCCUCAUCUUUUCUGGAACUGAACAUCCAUCCUUAAGGCCAGAUUUCUCCCAUCACCAACUUUAACUCCUGCCCUAGCCCUCUCUCUUCCUUUUCAAAACCCUCUCCACCCAGGAAGGGAGAUUCUGGAGCCAAGACUGUACCAGCCACACCUCCCCAGAGUUGUUAAGGAAGGAACUCGAAGCCAGGGGUGGUCUUCUGGCAAGCACCCCCACUACCAGUAGCAGGACAGAUGUGUUUCUAAUGGACUACACUAUCCCCGGAGGUCACAUGAUUCAGGCUGCCAAGGGUACCUGCCCUUGGGAAAUCAACUCCCGAAGAUAAAUUGGGAUUGGGUCCUGAGAAGAUCCAUGGAAGCCCAGAGGACCCUGCCUCUCUCUGUUGCUUCAUGCUGUAGAGGCAGUACUGGGGAGGGCCUGCCCCACAUCCGGCAGGGCAGCUGGAACCAUGUGUUUGAUGACACUCUGCUCCCUCAAUGUGGAGCCUCAUCCUCAUCUCACAGUCUAGCAGGCCUCUGGUGGGUUAGGCUUGUCUCACCCAGUGUGUGAGUUUUUUUGGAAGUGACCUGAUUUUGGAGUUUCCCUCCAAGCCUUUCUCAGGUACAUGCUUUCUCUUUUAUUCUGUCUUCUUUUUUUGAUCUUCUUAAAUCUGAUUUUCUCCUUUUUCCCUCUCUUGUCUCCAUCUUUUUUCCAGUCUCUCGCUUCUCUUUAUUUCUCCCCAUAUUUCACUCUGUUCUCUCACCCCAACCUUUCCCUUCUGUUUCUCUCCCUCCCUCUCUUCCCACCCCCUGCCUGGCCUUCCAUAUAUCAAGCAGAGUUUUAUCACCUUAUGCAGGGGCAGCCCUGCCACCUGCCAUAAAGUUGAUAGGCUAAUGACAUUUUGUGGAUAUUGCCAUGUCACAAGUCCAGGACAGCAUCAAAAAUAGCCCUGAUGUCUAAACCACUUCAGCUAUCUUUUUUAUUUUUAAAAUAAAUACAUUCACAUGCUUUUAAGAAACUAUAAAAAUAUAUAAAGUAAAAAGAUCUUUCUCUCACACUGUCUCCACCUCUCCUGGUCUCACCGUUGUGCUUAGGGGAAACCAUUGUGAUUAGUUUCUCCUGUGUCCUUCCAGAGUGUCUUUAUGCAAAUGAAAAUUAUUGUGAUAAUAUAUUCCUAUUUUCCCCCUUACUACACAAAAGAUAGACUACCAUAAUCCCAUUCUGCACUUUUUUUUCACUUGAUAAUAAAAACAUGAUUUUAUUAA
rnacentral:lncRNA from 1 species